rnacentral:rRNA from 1 species
GUCCUUUAGUUAAAAAUAAUUUAAGGUCUAACCUGCCCAUUGAUUAAAUUAAAAGGCCGCAGUAAUUUGACUGUGCAAAGGUAGCAUAAUCAUUAGUUUUUUAAUUAAAAGCUUGUAUGAAUGGUUGGACGAGAUAAAAUCUGUCUCUUUAUAAUAAAUAGAAUUUAAUUUUUAAGUUAAAAAGCUUAAAUGUUUAUAAAAGACGAGAAGACCCUAUAGAUCUUUAUAUAAUUUUUUUUAGUAUUAAUAAAGAAAAAUUUAUUUAUUAGGAAAAUUUUUAUUUUAUUGGGGUAAUAAAAAGAUUAAUAAAAUUCUUUAUAAUUAAACAAAAAUUAUUGGUUUUUUGAUCCAUUAUUAAUGAUUAUAAGAUUAAGUUACCUUAGGGAUAACAGCGUAAUUUUUUUAGAGAGUUCAUAUCAAUAAAAAAGUUUGCGA